AGAUGAAUAAACAACUUACAGCAGGUGCCUGGCGGCUUAUGGUAAUCAACGGGGUGUUUAUUUGGGAUCAGAAAAUAUACUCCGUUACACAAGUCUCUCGUCUGUCUUUGGCUAACCACAGGCUCGCUGAAAUUGGAUGGGGUCAUUUGCUGUCUAGUCACAGAUAAUAAAUCAAAGGGCUGAAGAAACUGCAGGAGAAAGGGCACGAACUGACCAAACAUUUAGCUGAUUGUAGUAGGCAUCAGCCCGGCCAAAGCGAAACUUUCCCAGCAAAUUUUCACUUAUCUCGAAUCCAGUUAUUCCCUGUAGGCAGCUGAGCUAAGUAAACAGAGGUUGCUUUACCUUGACUAAACAAUGACUUUGCUCUAGCUGCUGCCAGCUGUGUAGCAGUCACAAAAUGUACUUUAAAGGCUGGUGGGUAGCAGGCUGCCAGGGUGAGUGAACCUGUCAGUCUGGUCGACUUUGGGCAGGAUUUAGGAUGCUUAGUUAGAUGAAGCUGUGGUCGGAUCAGCUGGUGCCGUUCCCUGAGUAGGGAUAGAGUAUGCAAACGAACGGCCGUGGGUAAGGAGGAAGCAGAGAGGAGCUGGGGGAGUGGAGAACGGAUGACUUUCCUCUGAUGUCAAAAAUCCCAUCAUUCAGUGCUCGCAGGGAAAAAGACGAGAGGAGAAGAAUGUGGAGAGAAAGAGGGAGAAGAAAUGAAGGGAAGGGACACGCUCAGUUUUUUCCCUAAUUGCGCAGGCUAGCGUUUACCACCUUAAUAGGAUGGAGGAGGGAGCCUGAUCCCGAGAGCCAAGUUCUGAGCAGCCUUCCAAACCCCGGGGACUGUUCACAUCCCCACCCCGCUCUGGACUUGCCUGUGUCAAGCAUGGAUUUUGUAUUAAUCACUUCACUACCCUCUGACUGAAUAAGGACUGAAAAAGAUGCAGAGAGUAAAAAUUUCCUCAGGAAAUGAAUCAGACGAGGAACCUAUGCCUCAUCUCGCCUCCUACAAGCGAAGAAAGAGAGGAUUUUGUCAAUGAACUGCAUUUGGGGAAAUCAAGACCUGAGCAGAUCCUUUUUUAUUUCCACUCAUUUUCAGGGUGGUUCUUCCCAAACAAAGAUAAGCAGUCAGAAUACUUUCCUUGAAGACUUGGGCCUAGCAAUAUGGCAGCGCACGUUCGAUAAGAAAUCUUGUAAAGUGCUGCUACUGAGGACCACGUGCUCCCCGACCCAUUGCCUUGACUGCUGCACACAUUGCAGGGCUAGACCUUUCCGAAAGCCGGGUGCUCCCAAAUUGCAUUUAGGGUCCUACGUAAAAGUUUUCCUGGUUUUUCAAAGAUGCUCCACGCCUGCAGCUUCUGCUCUUGGUAGGAAUUUCGGGCACUGAAAACUUUGGAGAAGCUGGAUACUUUAAAGUCACUGUCUAUAAAAUAGAGGUCCGUGUUCCGCAGAAGGAGUUUUGUGAAGACAGAGGUACUGAUCAUAUGAGAAUUGUUCAGCUUGCCGUGUUCUGUGUCAUACUGGAGUUAGCCUGCGCUGCAAUGUGAAGUGAUGCAGAAGCACAGACUGGCACCAGGAGCGGGCAGACUGGCUGCUGCGCCUGCGUCCCGUGGCUAUUUCUGGCGUGCAGAGACUGAGCGGUGUCUGCCGGGCCAAACGGAUUGAUAGAGUUGGAGCUCAAAGAUCUUUGAGAAACCUCUUAGCAGAAUUGGGUUGAGGCAGAAAAAAUACAACGAUCCCCUCUCCAAGCUGAGGCACUGUCGGGGCAGUGCCUGGGGCAGCCGAUGAGGAUAACGAGAGUAAUCUGGACAUAGCAGCUGUCUUUUGAGGACCUCAAAUCUCUCUGUGGACAUGCUUCUCUCUGCAAAAUUCCUCUCACUCCAUUUCUAUGAGAACUAUUCCUGCAAACCGGGUCCCUAAGAGGAUUAGCGAAGGGGAUACCAAUUUAUUUAUACCCACCUCAGCAUGGUAGCAGCCAAACACUGUAAGUUGCUGGGUUAUUAAAUGGCCUGUAGCACAUGAAAGAAGCUUCAAUCUUCUGGGGCAGUUCAGAGUGGACAGGUGUCCACCCCACAGCUGCUCUGAACUGAUCCCCAGUUUUGGCAAUAUUUUUUUUUCUUUUUAACCUGUUCACGUUGGUGAUAUGAAGAGGAGUGCUCAGGACUAAGUGGACCACAGACAUUUGGUCCCUUUUAAAAUAUAAGAACAAUUUUCAGGACUCUUUCCGUUGAACUUUUUUAGCUGAUAAAAAAAAUAAAAGAACAAAAGAGAGAUAUGGGGAGUUAGGGAAAUCCCUCAGACUUUCUCUGUUUAAAUUCCAAAUUCCUGGCAGUCACAGUGUUAGGUGAUGUUGCCGUUUGGGUUUUCUUCUAUAGUGCCUGGCUUGCACAGUCCCAAGCUGAGUUAAAUACGUGGCUAUGAUCAAAAGAGGAUGACGCCGCUAUUUCUUUGUGCCAGCCUGGAGGCCCUUAGAUAUUGGAAUCUAAGUCUUUGAAAAACAAGGUUGCUGGACUCCAGUAAAUAAAGUGUCCGGAUGCUAGUGAUGAUUCAUAAAAGCAAUUUAAAAAGGAAAGUGCUUUGCUGCUGAGCGUAAUGUCUUGGUUUGAAGAUGUCCUUAAGUGUGUAAUGCUGCAAAUAGUGGUCAGUGGAUAGUGACCGCUGUGUUUAAGAUUACGAAUCUGUUUCCAACAUAACUCUACUCUUCACGUGGUUCUGAUGAUCAAAGCCACAUCUUUUUUUUUUUUUUGGUAGCUGAAUCUUCUUUAUUUAGUCUGUAUUUCAAAAUAUAUAGCUUCCAUCCCUUCUUAAAUUUGUGAAAAAAAAAUUCCUGAGGAUUUAGUAUUUUCCAUGGGAGAAAUGUGUUUUUUGAAAUUUAAAUACUGGACAUGACAAAUAAUUGAAAUUUAUCAAAUGUGAUUUGUUUGGAGAUUUUUUUUUCAAUGCUACCUUCUUGCAUUACGGCCUUGACCUUCCACAGACACAAACCACCUCACUUGUACAGCUUUCAAAGCGACUUGCAAUUAGCAAGACUGAACCCUGCUAAGACACGGCUAGGGUUCUUGUUGUAUACAGAGAUCCCCCAGCACGGUCACAUUGCCCAAGCGAGACGUAGGCCCCAAGGCAUACUCUACAAGCUUCUCAAGUCGGCUCAACCAACUGUUAGCUCUUAGUGAUGGCUCUUGGGUUGCUGUUCUAGAGCAGACGCUUCCAGUCAUGCCAACUUCUCCAAGUGGAUGCCUCUGGCUUCUCUCAAGGUCUGUGUAUUGUCCGAAGCUGGGGCUUGGCUUUGCUUUGCCCUUGCAUACUGAUUAGACCAGCCAUAUAUGCUAAGGGAAGCAAAAUAGUUUACUGAUUUAUCAUGGAUCAUUAGAUGGAGUAACUCUUCUUAAAACAUCACCAGUAUAGAUACAAUAAUUAGAGAUGUGCUUUUGUUAACAUUGCCAGCCUCUACCCUCUUGUACAGUACCCUUGGGUACUAAAUAAUUACCCACUUUGUGUGGUUAUCUAGCUCACUAAUUACCCACAAAAAUUGGGGUCAGGUGUUAACUGCUUGAAAUAAGUAUCCUCCAAAGACUUGGUUAAAUUGUGUAAAGAAAUUAUGUGUUUGCAGCAAAACUUUAAAAAAAAAAUCAAACAUUUGUUGUUGUUGUUGUUGUUGGAAGGAAAAUAGGGGAACAUGAAAAAGACGAUGGGUGUAAAUUAUUCUCUGUGAUGGCAAAAUCUUACCUACUGCUGUGAUGCUGAGGAUGGAAUCUGUACGGGUAGCAAAGGGAUGGUGGCAGAUACAGUCUCUGUAAUCCAGUCUACUUUUCCCAAAGAUUAGAUCCUUCAGUACACAGGGUUUGAUUCUUCCCCUAUCUAGGCUGAUGUCAAUCAGGAUUGUGUCGGUAUAAAUGAGAAAAUUUGUAUGCAUGGAUUCCUGGACUGCCUUUACUGCAUAAUUCCACCUCCUCUAUCACCCAGGGACUUCUGCAUUGCACCCAAUAAUUGAAUUAUGUAUUGUAUA